GAUGAACGCUGGCGGCGUGCCUAAUACAUGCAAGUCGAGCGAAUGGAUUAAGAGCUUGCUCUUAUGAAGUUAGCGGCGGACGGGUGAGUAACACGUGGGUAACCUGCCCAUAAGACUGGGAUAACUCCGGGAAACCGGGGCUAAUACCGGAUAACAUUUUGAACCGCAUGGUUCGAAAUUGAAAGGCGGCUUCGGCUGUCACUUAUGGAUGGACCCGCGUCGCAUUAGCUAGUUGGUGAGGUAACGGCUCACCAAGGCAACGAUGCGUAGCCGACCUGGGAGGGUGAGCGGCCACGCUGGGACUGAGACACGGCCCAGACUCCUACGGGAGGCAGCAGUAGGGAAUCUUCCGCAAGGGACGAAAGUCUGACGGAGCAACGCCGCGUGAGUGAUGAAGGCUUUCGGGUCGUAAAACUCUGUUGUUAGGGAAGAACAAGUGCUGGUUGAAUAAGCUGGCACCUUGACGGUACCUAACCAGAAAGCCACGGCUAACUACGUGCCAGCCGCCGCAGUAA
rnacentral:rRNA from 1 species